CCUGCCUGGAGUACCAGAUGGGCGGGUUCACAGUUCUGGGAAUAUUAUAUCGGUCCAUUAACCCAGGCAAGCUCAGGGGUUCACAGUUCUGGGAAUAUUACAUAUCCGUCUCUCUAUCAGGUCCUCCAUCCCUCCAUCCGUCUCUCUAUCAGGUCUACCAUGUUAGAUCCUCCAUCCAUCCCUCCCUCCAUCUCUCUAUCAGGUCUACCAUGUUAGAUCCUCCAUCCCUCUAUCAGGUCUACCAUGUUAGAUCCUCCAUCCAUCCCUCCCUCCAUCCCUCUAUCAGGUCUACCAUGUUAGAUCCUCCAUCUCUCUAUCAGGUCUACCAUGUUAGAUCCUCCAUCUCUCUAUCAGGUCUACCAUGUUAGAUCCUCCAUCUCUCUAUCAGGUCUACCAUGUUAGAUCCUCCAUCCCUCCCU
rnacentral:lncRNA from 1 species